AGAAAAACGUGACAUCACAGCUAACAGCAUUAGCACCCCACAGAAUUCAACGUGUUUGGAGAGACGUGUGGUGCGCAGGAACAAACAUAUACAACAAUGUGCUGCACUCAGGAGAGGACAACAGUUUGCUUGAGCUGUCAAACAUGUUAGAUAACUUCUGUUGUCACUAUUUAUUUAUCCCAAGACUACAACUAAGUUUUCACACCAUCAGCAGUGGCUGAGAUGACCAUUCACUCAGAACUGAGAGGAAUCUGACACUUAUGGGAGAUGGGAAGCAUCCAGCAGGCUGUGGUAGAACCAGAAAUCACAGAGGGACUCUGCCUGCCUCAUAUUGACAGUGGACUGCUGGAUGACCCACACUGUGGGGUCACUAUUCCUGAAACUGGCAAUGUGUUGAGCCCCAAACAACUGGUAGCACUGAGG